rnacentral:pre_miRNA from 1 species
AGAAAGACAAACCCUGGUUUCCGUGUCCAACGUUUGACCGUCCUUCUUAUUUGAAAAAAUUAUGAAAAAAUUAAAAAGAUAAAUCACGCACAAAGUAUUAAUCAUGUUUUAUCAUCUAACAACAAUGGAAAUACUAAUUAUAAAAAAAAUCAUAUAAGACGGACAGUCAAACGUUGACACGGAAACCCAGGAUUUGCCUUUUU